ACCUGCCUGUAAGACUGGGAUAACUCCGGGAAACCGGGGAAUACCGGAUGGUUGUCUGAACCGCAUGGUUCAGACAUAAAAGGUGGCUUCGGCUACCACUUACAGAUGGACCCGCGGCGCAUUAGCUAGUUGGUGAGGUAACGGCUCACCAAGGCGACGAUGCGUAGCCGACCUGAGAGGGUGAUCGGCCACACUGGGACUGAGACACGGCCCAGACUCCUACGGGAGGCAGCAGUAGGGAAUCUUCCGCAAUGGACGAAAGUCUGACGGAGCAACGCCGCGUGAGUGAUGAAGGUUUUCGGAUCGUAAAGCUCUGUUGUUAGGGAAGAACAAGUGCCGUUCAAAUAGGGCGGCACCUUGACGGUACCUAACCAGAAAGCCACGGCUAACUACGUGCCAGCAGCCGCGGUAAUACGUAGGUGGCAAGCGUUGUCCGGAAUUAUUGGGCGUAAAGGGCUCGCAGGCGGUUUCUUAAGUCUGAUGUGAAAGCCCCCGGCUCAACCGGGGAGGGUCAUUGGAAACUGGGGAACUUGAGUGCAGAAGAGGAGAGUGGAAUUCCACGUGUAGCGGUGAAAUGCGUAGAGAUGUGGAGGAACACCAGUGGCGAAGGCGACUCUCUGGUCUGUAACUGACGCUGAGGAGCGAAAGCGUGGGGAGCGAACAGGAUUAGAUACCCUGGUAGUCCACGCCGUAAACGAUGAGUGCUAAGUGUUAGGGGGUUUCCGCCCCUUAGUGCUGCAGCUAACGCACUAAGCACUCCGCCUGGGGAGUACGGUCGCAAGACUGAAACUCAAAGGAAUUGACGGGGGCCCGCACAAGCGGUGGAGCAUGUGGUUUAAUUCGAAGCAACGCGAAGAACCUUACCAGGUCUUGACAUCCUCUGACAAUCCUAGAGAUAGGACGUCCCCUUCGGGGGCAGAGUGACAGGUGGUGCAUGGUUGUCGUCAGCUCGUGUCGUGAGAUGUUGGGUUAAGUCCCGNAACGAGCGCAACCCUUGAUCUUAGUUGCCAGCAUUCAGUUGGGCACUCUAAGGUGACUGCCGGUGACAAACCGGAGGAAGGUGGGGAUGACGUCAAAUCAUCAUGCCCCUUAUGACCUGGGCUACACACGUGCUACAAUCAGAACAAAGGGCAGCGAAACCGCGAGGUUAAGCCAAUCCCACAAAUCUGUUCUCAGUUCGGAUCGCAGUCUGCAACUCGACUGCGUGAAGCUGGAAUCGCUAGUAAUCGCGGAUCAGCAUGCCGCGGAUACGUUCCCGGGCCUUUACACAC
rnacentral:rRNA from 2 species